rnacentral:rRNA from 1 species
GACGAACGCUGGCGGCGUGCUUAACACAUGCAAGUCGAACGGAAAGGCCCUGCUUUUGUGGGGUGCUCGAGUGGCGAACGGGUGAGUAACACGUGAGUAACCUGCCCUUGACUUUGGGAUAACUUCAGGAAACUGGGGCUAAUACCGGAUAGGAGCUCCUGCUGCAUGGUGGGGGCUGGAAAGUUUCGGCGGUUGGGGAUGGACUCGCGGCUUAUCAGCUUGUUGGUGGGGUAGUGGCUUACCAAGGCUUUGACGGGUAGCCGGCCUGAGAGGGUGACCGGCCACAUUGGGCCUGAGAUACGGCCCAGACUCCUACGGGAGGCAGCAGUGGGGAAUAUUGCACAAUGGGCGGAAGCCUGAUGCAGCAACGCCGCGUGCGGGAUGACGGCCUUCGGGUUGUAAACCGCUUUCGCCUGUGACGAAGCGUGAGUGACGGUAAUGGGUAAAGAAGCACCGGCUAACUACGUG